AACGAACGCUGGCGGCAUGCCUAACACAUGCAAGUCGAACGAGAUCCUUCGGGGUCUUGUGGCGCACGGGUGCGUAAUGCCUGGGAAUCUGCCCUUAGAUUCGGUCUAACAGUUAGAACUGACUGCUAAUACCGGAUGAUGACGUUCAAUCCAAAAAUUUAUCGCAUGAGUUUGAGCCCGCGUAGGAUUAGCUAGUUGGUGUGGUAAAGGCGCACCAAGGCGACGAUCCUUAGCUGGUCUGAGAGGAUGAUCAGCCACACUGGGACUGAGACACGGCCCAGCCUCCUACGGGAGGCAGCAGUGGGGAAUAUGGGACAAUGGGCGCAAGCCUGAGCCAGCAAGGCGGCGGGAGUGAUGAAGGCCUUAGGGUGGUAAAGCCCGUUUACCCGGGAGGAUAAUGACAGUACCGGGAGAAUAAGCCCCGGCUAACUCCGUG
rnacentral:rRNA from 1 species